GUUCAGUACGAGUUAAGACGCGAUUGAUGUUAAUUUCCUAGAAGUACAUAAAAGUUGGAUCAUAUUGCAAAUCUUAUCUCUGAACAAAUAAUCCCACCUUCUCAAGCCGAAUACCAUGGCCCAUUCGAAAUAUCAGUUUGGAUACGUUGAAUUGCUUUAAUUAAUUUGGUCUUCAAUCUCAGCCGGGAAUAAUCGAUAUCAUUCAAGUCCAUGAAAGUUUGUACAUCAUCGAUACCUUCAGAAACUAGAACAUAACAAUUAAGAAUUAGUAAACUAUCAAAACAAUAUGAGGGGAAUUUAUAUGCAUACUCGAUAAUAAAUAUCUGUUCCAAAAAUGAA